rnacentral:rRNA from 1 species
CCUACGGGGGGCAGCAGUGGGGAAUAUUGGACAAUGGGGGGAACCCUGAUCCAGCCAUGCCGCGUGUGUGAAGAAGGCCCUCGGGUUGUAAAGCACUUUCAGUGAGGAAUAACGCCUGGUGGUUAAUACCCAUCAGGAAAGACAUCACUCACAGAAGAAGCACCGGCUAACUCCGUGCCAGCAGCCGCGGUAAUACGGAGGGUGCGAGCGUUAAUCGGAAUUACUGGGCGUAAAGCGCGCGUAGGUGGCUUGAUAAGCCGGUUGUGAAAGCCCCGGGCUCAACCUGGGAACGGCAUCCGGAACUGUCAAGCUAGAGUGCAGGAGAGGAAGGUAGAAUUCCCGGUGUAGCGGUGAAAUGCGUAGAGAUCGGGAGGAAUACCAGUGGCGAAGGCGGCCUUCUGGACUGACACUGACACUGAGGUGCGAAAGCGUGGGUAGCAAACAGGAUUAGAUACCCUUGUAGUC